rnacentral:rRNA from 1 species
GAGUAAGUAAAAGUCGUAACAAGGUUUCCGUAGGUGAACCUGCGGAAGGAUCAUUAUUGAAAUUUUGAAGAGGGGGCAUUACUAGGUUGUGCUGGCCUUUACCUGGGCAUCGUGCACGCCGAACGGUCUCCCUUUUUAACUCUUCUAUUCACACCUGUGCACCUUUGCUAGGUCUUUCGAGACCUAGAGUUCUUUACGAACACCUUUAUGGGUUUUUACUAUUGUCAGCCGCUUCUUUUCAGAGGUUGGUGGGCAAAAAUAAUAUUACAACUUUCAGCAACGGAUCUCUUGGCUCUCGCAUCGAUGAAGAACGCAGCGAAUUGCGAUAUGUAAUGUGAAUUGCAGAUUUUCAGUGAAUCAUCGAAUCUUUGAACGCACCUUGCGCUCCUUGGUAUUCCGAGGAGCAUGCCUGUUUGAGUGUCAUUAAAUUCUCAACCCCAUGCGAUUUGUUUCGUGUGUGUGGCUUUGGACAGUGGAGGUUUUUGCUGGACCCAUUUUUCUUGGGUUCAGCUCCUCUGAAAUACAUUGGCGAAAGCAUGUUGUGCGGACCAGUGUCUCGGUGUGAUAAUGAUCAUCGUGGCAUGAAAGUGCAAUGUUUAAAAGUGCUUGUGCCUAUAGUCGUCCCUUGACAGGACAAUAUAUUUUGAACCUUUGACCUCAAAUCAGGUAG